GUCUUUAAAUGCUCUGAGCACUGUUUGUUUCCACAUCACGACACAAAGCUCAUGAACACAGCAAGGUGGAAGAACGACUUCCCGAGUGCCGUCCUAGAUACUGAUGCAUCAAUGUCUACCUAGUUUUACUGUUGUGGUUGGUUGAUGUAACUAUAAAUAUAAAACACUAAAUCAUAUUUUAAAAGCUCAAAUUUUGUAUGUAAAAUCUUUUAAGUAACCAGUAAAUAUAGCUUUCGAACUAAACCAGUGCAGUGCCUCUGAACUGUAAUGGAGUAGACGCAUGAAGUAGCAUAAAAUUAUAAGUACAAGUAGAGCUGGGCAAUAUGGAGAAAUCAAAUAUCCUCGAUAACGAUAUUGCGACGACAUGUAGGGUUGACAAUUGGUGCUUUCGCUAAAUAUUUACGCAAUGAGAUUUAUGAUAAAUAAUCAGUAAGUAUGGAUGAGUCAAGUGGUACAUGGGAACUUUAAGUCUCUGUAAGUAGGAUGAGAUCUUAUCCAAAGGGGAGUAAAUGUUGGUCGGUGAAUGAUGAUUUGUUUAUGAUGCACAAGGAUAAAACCAAGAAACUGUCCAUUCUGACCAACAUAAGUAAAGUCCCUUCUUAACAAUGUCUUCACUGUGGAGCUCUCACAUAUUUUCCAUUAAACUUAACCCAAUACACCAUUAACUCCAGAAUCUAACCAGUGGCAUUUUAUUUGAUUUCAGUUUCUUUCUGCAAACAUCCUACACAUGUCAACACAACAUUUUCACACACACUUUGAGUGAAAUACAAAUUGAAUGAAAUACAAAAAUAUCAACAAACUACAUCCUAGAAAAGCUACAAAACAAGAAAAAUGAUGUUCCUGGCAGUGACAUUAUCAUAUCGGUCUAAAACAUCCUGAGUGUUGAGGAGAGGCCAUGUCCAUGAGAUAGUCUUCAAUGCGUGUUUCUAUGUCUGAGUACAGGUCCUCAACUUGCUCCCUGAAAGGAGGAUG